rnacentral:rRNA from 1 species
AUUGAACGCUGGCGGCAUGCUUUACACAUGCAAGUCGAACGGUAACAGGCCGCAAGGUGCUGACGAGUGGCGAACGGGUGAGUAAUGCAUCGGAACGUGCCCAGUCGUGGGGGAUAACGCAGCGAAAGCUGCGCUAAUACCGCAUACGAUCUAUGGAUGAAAGCGGGGGACCGAAAGGCCUCGCGCGAUUGGAGCGGCCGAUGUCAGAUUAGGUAGUUGGUGGGGUAAAGGCUCACCAAGCCAACGAUCUGUAGCUGGUCUGAGAGGACGACCAGCCACACUGGGACUGAGACACGGCCCAGACUCCUAGGGGAGGCAGCAGUGGGGAAUUUUGGACAAUGGGCGCAAGCCUGAUCCAGCAAUGCCGCGUGCAGGGAGAAGGCCUUCGGGUUGUAAACUGCUUUUGUACGGAACGAAACGGUCCGGGUUAAUACCUUGGGCUAAUGACGGUACCGUAAGAAUAAGCACCGGCUAACUACGUGCCAGCAGCCGCCGCAGUAA